CGGAGACGGGGAGGGAAAAGGCGGGGGAUUGGCGGCUGCCAAGUGACUCCUGAGGCCGAGGAGACCAUGGGCCGACUCCGCCGGAGCAGUGCCACGAGGCCGAGGCUGCCCACCAGGAAGAAGGCGAAACCAGUGAAGAUGGAGAUCCAGGCCCCGGCGAAGACGUCGUCCUUCCCGGACACGCCGAGCGUCGGAUACACGCGCUGGGGAAGCCUUUUCUCCCCAAUCCUGGGAGCUCGCCCGAGCCUUCUCCCGGGGCCCUGCCCCUCCAGGGAGGCCGCAGUCGCCCCCCGCCCCGACCUCUCCCUCGGAGAAACCCGGCCCGGGGCAGGGCACUGACCAGGACGACGACGUUCCCCACUAUCAGACAGGCGACGACCAGCGCAGAUGAGGUAACUGAGGCACAGAGAAGUGAAGUGAUUUGCCCAAAGUCACACAGCUGGCAAACGG